CCCUUAGAUGUUCUGGGCCGCACGCGCGCUACACUGAUGCAUUCAACGAGUUUUACCUUGGCCGAGAGGCCUGGGCAAUCUUUUAAACCUGCAUCGUGAUAGGGAUAGAUUAUUGCAAUUAUUAAUCUUGAACGAGGAAUUCCUAGUAAACGCAAAUCAUCAAUUUGCAUUGAUUACGUCCCUGCCCUUUGUACACACCGCCCGUCGCUCCUACCGAUUGGAUGGUCCGGUGAACUUUUUGGACUUGUAGCAAUGUUAUGAGAAAGUUAAGUAAACCUUAUCAUUUAGAGGAAGGAAAAGUCGUAACA
rnacentral:rRNA from 1 species